GUAGGUGAACCUGCGGAGGGAUCAUUCACAUGUAUCCAACCUGUAUCAACCAACUGUGAACUGUUUUGCCGUGAGAGGCAAGUGCUGAGAGUGUUAGCUUAGUCACUGAGUGGAAUCAGUGUUUACACUGAUUGAGACUAACUAGCUGUGACCGAUUCUUCGGAAUAUGGUCAGCUCUCCGUUUGCUAAUCCGGCCCUAUCUCUAGUCUAUCAAUGAUUGAUUGAUCCCCAUCUCAAUCGCUCUCAUUUU
rnacentral:misc_RNA from 1 species